rnacentral:rRNA from 1 species
AUUGAACGCUGGCGGCAUGCUUUACACAUGCAAGUCGAACGGGCUUAGGUGCUUGCACCUAAGUUAGUGGCGAACGGGUGAGUAAUGCAUCGGAACGUACCGUGUAGUGGGGGAUAACCCGGCGAAAGUCGGAUUAAUACCGCAUACGAUCUAAGGAUGAAAGCAGGGGAUCGCAAGACCUUGCGCUAUACGAGCGGCCGAUGUCGGAUUAGCUAGUUGGUAGGGUAAAGGCCUACCAAGGCAACGAUCCGUAGCGGGUCUGAGAGGAUGAUCCGCCACACUGGGACUGAGACACGGCCCAGACUCCUACGGGAGGCAGCAGUGGGGAAUUUUGGACAAUGGGCGAAAGCCUGAUUCAGCCAUGCCGCGUGAGUGAAGAAGGCCUUCGGGUUGUAAAGCUCUUUUGUCCGGGAGCAAAUCCUGUUCACUAAUACUGAGCGGGGCUGAGAGUACCGGAAGAAUAAGCACCGGCUAACUACGUGCCAGCCGCCGCGGUAAAAC